rnacentral:rRNA from 1 species
CCUACGGGCGGCUGCAGUAAGGAAUAUUGGUCAAUGGAGGAAACUCUGAACCAGCCAUCCCGCGUGAAGGAUGAAGGGGCUCUGCCUUGUAAACUUCUUUUGUCUGGGGCGAAAAAGCUCGAUUUAUCGAGAACUGACGGUACCAGAAGAAUAAGCACCGGCUAACUCCGUGCCAGCAGCCGCGGUAAUACGGAGGGUGCCGGCGUUAUCGGGAUUCAAGGGGUCUAAGGCGUGUUUGUACGGCUUAGUAGAAAGGCUGGGGCUUAACCAUGGAAUUGCCAUUGAUACUGCAGAGCUUGAAUGAGGUUGAGGUUGGCGGAAUGUGACAUGUAGCGGUGAAAUGCUUAGAUAUGUCAUGGAACACCGAUUGCGAAGGCAGCUGACUGGACCUAUAUUGACGCUGAGGCACGAAAGCGUGGGGAGCGAACAGGAUUAGAUACCCCAGUAGUC